GCUGGCGCGGUCGCACGUGCCUGCAGCCCCAGCUACUCGCGAGGCUGAGGUGGGAGGAUGGCUUGAGCCCAGGAGUUCUGGGCUGUAGUGUGCUAUUCCAAUCGGGUAUCUGCACUAAGUUCGGCAUCAAUAUGAUGACCUCCCCGGAGUGGGGGACCACCAGAGAGGGGUGAACCCGCAGAGGUUGGAAACUGAACAGGUCAAAACUCCCGUGCUGAUCAGUAGUGGAAUCGUGCCUGUGAAUAGCCACUGCAUUCCAGCCUGGGCAACAUAGUGAGACCCUGGCUCU
rnacentral:SRP_RNA from 1 species